rnacentral:rRNA from 1 species
UACAGAGGGUGCAAGCGUUAAUCGGAUUUACUGGGCGUAAAGCGUGUGUAGGUGGCUGUGUAAGUCGGUUGUGAAAUCCCUGGGCUUAACCUGGGAAUUGCAGCCGAUACUGCAGAGCUCGAGUUCGGUAGAGGGCGACGGAAUUCCCGGUGUAGCGGUGAAAUGCGUAGAUAUCGGGAGGAACAUCGAUGGCGAAGGCAAUCGCCUGGGCCUGAACUGACACUGUGACACGAAAGCGUGGGUAGCAAACAGG